GACAACCAAUAUAAUCCCUUGAUGGCUGCUGGUGAGAAUCCUGUGGAAACUUUAGCUAUGUACAUCAAAUCCUCCUUGCUCGAUACACGGACAGAGUUUCAGGACCCUGCUAUUGGGCAGGAUUCCAUUACUAUAACUGAAGAAAAGCAGCUGUUUGACCUUCGCUGGAGAACAAAUGUUUUUAAUAUAGCUAAGAGAGAUGACAUAUGAAAACUGUAUAUGGAAUAUGUAGACCAGAAUUGCUUUUAUCAGCUUUCAACUUUUUGCUUGCUAAACACAGUACCUGGAACAAAUACUUCUUGCACCUGCAGGUGGCUGCUUAGAAGAUUGUUAGCUUCCCAGUAGGUAGUUAACUCUGCUCAUAGAGCUCUUUAGACAGCUAGUACACGUUUUCUUUUUAACUGUUUAAUACGUGUGAGAAGUAUUAAUGUAGUUAAGUACCCUAAUGUUUCCUAAUAAAAGAUAAUAGUAGCAUGAGAGAUUCUCUAUUGCUUUUUUUCUACCGUAUUUUCUUUGUGACUGGAAUAAAUUAUUUUUUGUUUAUAUUAUAACUUAAUAGGAAAUUAAGAAUUUUUUUCUCACAGGUUUGUAGUGAGUUCACCUUCUAAAUAUUUGUGAGGUACUCAUAUUUCAGAAUUAAGGAUUUGAGAAAAGUCCAUUUGCGAAUUGUUUUUUUUUUUCAUUCAAUUAUUUAUAUGGCCAAAAAUGUUGAGCCUGUUUGGAUUUACUUGUAGACUUGAGUAAAAGUAAUCAAACCAAAUUCAUUUUGAAUUGGGGUCUUUUUUUGAGUUGUGAAACCUUGUUUACUACUUGCUGAUUACAAGGGAAACUGCUGCCAAGUCCUUCUGAAUGGCAGUAAACAAGUGUAUAGGACAGACUUACCUAAGUUAGUAGCUUUCAAAAUUUGAGUCAUCUAUAAGCUCUGAAAGAAGACAGGGAAGAAAAGCAAAGUAGAAACGUAUGGUGAAGUUCAGUUAAUCUGACUUGCAUAUUCUUGACAGCAUUAUUUCCUUUUCUUCGUUAGAUAUUCUCACUGCGUCCAAAAUAAUUUGUUAAUAUUUACAGACAAAACUCUUCCAUGUAAUUUUUUUCCACAGACGUUUCCUUUCAAAAUAUUCAUUUUACCUUGUGUUCAGAAUAUGAACUUCUACCUUGGCAGUAUUUCUGCUAGCAUGGGUCAUCUGCCUGCAGUUGAAUGGCUACACUGAAGUCUGUGGCUGACCCAGUCACUUCCAAGGUUCUUCUAGGGUCUGUCCAAUACAUUUCCCGUUUUACUGACUAGCUUUCUUUAAUUAUGAACUUACUGAGGCUUAGCUGGGCAGGACUGCAGGCUGUAUCAUUGGAGAAUGCCCAGAAGGCAUAACUGCUGUGUUCUGAACUGCAUAGAGCUUCCAAAUCAUUUGUUGUCAUUAUCCUGUUGUAGCGUAGCCAUAAGAUGAGAAGAGCUAUCUUAGUCUUCCUCAGAAUAGUUCAGGAUCCUCUAUGACAUGAGAGGGAGAAGAUGCUUCUGGAACCCUAUGAUCUUUAAGAUCUUGUCCAAACUAAGCCAUCGCAGUAGGAAAAGUUAUUCAAAGUGUGAAGCUGGGGUUAUCUUAGUUCUUGAUGCAGAACCCAAUGGGUUUAUUGACUAGACCUGCUAGUCUUCACAGUUUUUUCUGUCUGUCACACAGCCUGAGUGUGUUUGUGAGGAAAACAUUUGCAAUAGAACUCAGCUGCCCUUUAUGCUUGAAAUAAGCUGCAUAAUGUAGUUCUAGGAAGAGAGAGAUUUAAUGCUCAGCUUUUUAUGAGAGUUGUUUUAUCCCGCUGGCUGCUUUAAUCCACGUAUUUAUGAAACUUAUCAAAAACGCAUUUACAGAGACUCCUAUGCAUUUGUUUGGAAGCAACUUAUUUUCAGAGCUAAAAAAAUGCAAGGAUAAGAAGUGGAGUUAGUCUCAAGUAGUUAUAUUUUGACAGUGAAUUUUCCUGAAAGCAGGAAUUUUGAUGUGGUCUUGAGACCAGUAUCCCACAAAGUGGAUGAAAAGAGCUUAGGGGAUGGGUUGUAUUCCCAAAAACAAAGACUGAAGACGCUGCUGAUCUGGGUUCACAGCCAAGUGCCUGGGCAACCCAGCACUGCUGUUGAUGUAAGUUUCUGUUGCGUGGUAUUCAGAGCAGGGAUUUGGAUUAUCUAGUAACCCUUGUGGUGGCACAAAUCUGUUGCUCGUUGUUUAACAUUGCUCUGCAAUGGAAGCUGUACUUCCAUUGGAUUUCCAAGAUACUGCAAAGCAGAAGGUUAGACAUCUUUUAUCUAAUGCAACCUUUUUCUCCUUACACUUAAGGAAGACCCAGCACGACCUCCACAAAGAAUUGUUCUUCAGAAUCUGACAAAGGUCCCGUGCAUAAAGGUGUAGAAAGCACUGACGAAAGCCAGGGGCCAAAUAUGGUGAUCCACGUGUGUGAUGAAGCAAAAAACCUCAAAGAAGAUUUUGUUUGUCCUCGAGAUCUUUUGAUUUCUGAAAUGAAAUACUUUGCUGAAUAUCUGUCAGUGGAUGCCCAGCGCUGGGAAGAAGUGGACAUUUCAGUGCACUGUGACGUUCACAUCUUUGACUGGUUGAUAAGAUAUGUUAAAAGGAAUACCAAAGAUGGUGAAGCUUAUGAAAUCCCUGCCUUAGAACCAGCAAAUGUCAUAUCAAUUCUUAUUUCUUCUGAGUUUUUGAAGAUGGAUUCAUUAGUAGAAAAAUGUAUUCAUUAUUGUCACAAAAAUAUGAAUGCUAUUGUAGCCACACCUUGUAACAUGAAUUGUAUCAAUGCUAAUCUUGUCGGGCAUAUUGCUGAUCUCUUUACUCACAAUGAACUGGAAGAGCUGAAGGACAAGAGAGAUAAAUUUAAAAGUAAACUUUUCUGCAAGAAGAUUGAGAGACUGUUUGAUCCAGAGUACAUAAAUCCAGAUUCUCGAGGAAAUGCAGCUACCUUAUACAGAUGUUGUUUAUGUAAAAAGCUGUUAACUAAAGAAACUGAAAGAAGAAUUCCGUGUGUACCAGGAAAAAUCAACAUAGAUCAACAUGGGAAUAUUGUCUAUGUUCAUAUAAGAGAUAAAACGUGGGAAGUCCAUGAGUACUUAAUUGGCCUUCAUGAAGAAUUGAAAUCUUGGCAGGAUGUCUAUUGGCGUCUCUGGGGGACUGUCAAUUGGUUGACCUGCUCAAGAUGUAACCAGUCUUUCCUGUGUACUGAAUUUUCCCAUUGCCAGUACCAUCCGCAGUCAGUUCUUUAUCCAGGUGUAGCAAGUGCUCUGGGGUCAACUGGGACAGGAGUAUAUCCAUGUUGCAACCAAAAAGUACUUCGAUUUGAUCCUACUACCCUGCCAAAGGGCUGUAAAGUGAGGGAUCAUGUGACUAGUUUACCUUCUGGAAAUGAAGAUGGGGAUUCUUUGCCUUCUCAGACCACUAAAAUACUGAACGAUCUGCUCCAUCAUAGAGAAGUUAUUGUUGUUCCUUUUACUAAGGACGAGAAUAGUGACUCUGGUAUUGGGCUCUGUGAUGAAAAAGGCAUCGAAUGUGAUGUGCUCGUAGAACCAAAUACACCGUGGGGCCCCAAAACUGGAGAAAUCAAUGCUUUUCUUUCUCUGAAGAACUGGACUUUACAACUGAAACAGCAGUCGUUGUUAUCUGAAGAAGAGGAGUAUACCACUGGCUCUGAGGUCACUGAGGAUGAAGUAGGGGAUGAAGAAGAAGUAUGCAGGAAACCAGGGAGAAAGGAGAAACUAAAGAAAUUCUAUAAACACCCAAAGAAAGGGGCUUCUUCACCUAGUAUUCAGAAAAAGGAGAAGCCAUCUGACAAGCCAAGUUCCCGAGAUGCAUCUCCAUUCACUGUAAGUGUGCAGCAGAACAAAUGGGAUGCCUCCAGGUCACUAAGAUUCAACCAAGAUGCUCAAAGAGAAGAUGGAAUAAAAAAAUCUCUGUGUCAGGAAAAUGGAAAGAGAACCUACCAUGAACUACACUGUAGUCUUGCAUACAGACUGAAAAAUAAAUGGGCAGCUUUGGACCCUCAGACUAGGAAAGUAUUUGGAAGGAAUUCCAAGUUUGCAGGAAAAAAAACAUUCCAUUCAAAUUGUGUUAGGAGCGUUUAUGUUCUGUAUUUGGGAAGUCUGCACAUAACCUACAGAGAUUAUAAUUGUGCCCUCUGAUGACUAUACAAGUAAGCAAAGAUAUUUUUUCAUGCAUCCCUGUGUUAUUUGUUAUCUGGAUAUCUAAAAAGUGAUAAAUGUAUUUACUUGCAUCUUCUUCCCUGUCUUUCUUAUUUGAAAAUAUUCAGAAUUAUUUUAAUUUACCCAGCUUUUUAUAUCUUUGAGAUUUCUAUGUAUUUUUGCUGUUCUGAAAGUCUUUGCCUCAAAACUGUUUCCAUAUGUUUUUUUAUCUCAGUGCAAUUCCUCAGACUGAUUCUGGUAUCUGCCCAGAAUGCUUCUGAAGCUAGAUUAUUCAUCAGGAUAUAGAAUUUUGGUUGUUUAAGACUUCUGUAUGAGCUGAGAAACAAAAAAUUACUUCCUGCAAAUAGGAUCUAACUAAAAUGUGUUUUGUAUGUUGUUCUCUUUGUAUUCAGUAGUAUGGAAAGCGUUUGUUCUAAAAUAUUAUUUUUGACAGACCAGAGGAGAAUGUCUGAGAUUACAGGACACUUGAUAAAAAUCAGACUGGGAGACUUUGGUCGAAUCAAGUCAAAAGACAGCAAAGAAGUAAGACUUAUCAUAACGUAGUGAUUGCAGAAUUGAAGCAGGCCUUUGUAACAAAUGUGUAACACAAAUGAAAACACCAUUCGUUCAAUUACUAACAAAGAAUUGAGUUUAAUCUUCAUUUUCUUCUAUGCAUGAUGGUUUUUUUUGUAAAGGAGUUAAAUAACAAUUUUUAAAGUUCGCUGCCUUUAAAAAUUGAACAUGGAAAAUAGGAUGGUUUUAAAAGAAAGUGUGCUAUAGGUUCUCCUGAAUAUUAACUAUUUUUAUGAAAAAUCGCCGAUUAGAUUGGAAUAAUGUCACAACUUGGUUUUUUGCAUUUCAGUACGCCGGAGGCAUUUAUUCAAGACUUGAAGCUCAGAUAAAGGCCUCAGCACAGGUCAAUGCACGACAGAUCAACACUGAGAAGAAUGCCAGGUCAAAAUCCCGUUUUGGUCAAGGUCGUCCAACAUAAAGACUCAUG